UGCUCAGAGUGAACGCUGGCGGUAGGCCUAACACAUGCAAGUCGAACGGCAGCACAGGAGAGCUUGCUCUCUGGGUGGCGAGUGGCGGACGGGUGAGGAAUACAUCGGAAUCUACUUUUUCGUGGGGGAUAACGUAGGGAAACUUACGCUAAUACCGCAUACGACCUACGGGUGAAAGCAGGGGACCUUCGGGCCUUGCGCGAUUGAAUGAGCCGAUGUCGGAUUAGCUAGUUGGCGGGGUAAAGGCCCACCAAGGCGACGAUCCGUAGCUGGUCUGAGAGGAUGAUCAGCCACACUGGAACUGAGACACGGUCCAGACUCCUACGGGAGGCAGCAGUGGGGAAUAUUGGACAAUGGGCGCAAGCCUGAUCCAGCCAUACCGCGUGGGUGAAGAAGGCCUUCGGGUUGUAAAGCCCUUUUGUUGGGAAAGAAAUCCAGCUGGCUAAUACCCGGUUGGGAUGACGGUACCCAAAGAAUAAGCACCGGCUAACUUCGUGCCAGCAGCCGCGGUAAUACGAAGGGUGCAAGCGUUACUCGGAAUUACUGGGCGUAAAGCGUGCGUAGGUGGUCGUUUAAGUCCGUUGUGAAAGCCCUGGGCUCAACCUGGGAACUGCAGUGGAUACUGGGCGACUAGAGUGUGGUAGAGGGUAGCGGAAUUCCUGGUGUAGCAGUGAAAUGCGUAGAGAUCAGGAGGAACAUCCAUGGCGAAGGCAGCUACCUGGACCAACACUGACACUGGAGGCACGAAAGCGUGGGGAGCAAACAGGAUUAGUA
rnacentral:rRNA from 1 species